rnacentral:rRNA from 1 species
GAUGAACGCUGGCGGCGUGCCUAAUACAUGCAAGUCGAGCGAACGGGCGCGAAGCUUGCUUCUCUGAUGUUAGCGGCGGACGGGUGAGUAACACGUGGAUAACCUACCUAUAAGACUGGGAUAACUUCGGGAAACCGUAGCUAAUACCGGAUAAUAUUUUGAACCGCAUGGUUCAAUAGUGAAAGACGGUCUUGCUGUCACUUAUAGAUGGUUCCGCGCUGCAUUAGCUGGUUGGUAAGGUAACGGCUUACCAAGGCAACGAUGCAUAGCCGACCUGAGAGGCGGGUAGGCGACCUGGGAACGGAGACACCGUCCAUACUACUACGGGAGGGAGCAGUAGGGAAUCGGCCGCAAUGGGCGGAAGCCUGACGGAGCAGCGCCGAGUGAGUGAUGAAGGCCUUCGGAUCGUAAAAAUCUGUUAUUAGGGAAGAACAUAUGUGGAAGUAACUGUGCACAGCUUGACGGUACCUAAUCAGAAAGCCCCGGCUAACUACGUG